rnacentral:lncRNA from 1 species
GUCGUUAGUAAGGAAUUGAUUAGAGGAGAAGAAGGAGGAUAAGAAGAAGAAGAUGGUGGAGAGGAAGAAGAGAGGAAAGAAUGGUUACCGACGGAAAUGGGUAGAGGUGGAAGGGGCUAAAAUUAAAAGGGGAUUGCUUAUAGGUAGUUUGGAGGGAGAGAAGGCAAAAUGGAUGAGGAAGAAAAGGAGAUGAAAGGAGUCACCAU